AUUGAACGCUGGCGGCAGGCCUAACACAUGCAAGUCGAACGAAGUCUUUGGAUUUAGUGGCGGACGGGUGAGUAACACGUGGGAACGUAUCUUUUGGUUCGGAACAACUCAGGGAAACUUGAGCUAAUACCGGAUGAGCCCUUAGGGGGAAAGAUUUAUCGCCGAAAGAGCGGCCCGCGUUAGAUUAGCUAGUUGGUGAGGUAAAGGCGCACCAAGGCUACGAUCUAUAGCUGGUCUGAGAGGAUGAUCAGCCACACUGGGACUGAGACACGGCCCAGACUCCUACGGGAGGCAGCAGUGGGGAAUCUUGCGCAAUGGGCGAAAGCCUGACGCAGCCAUGCCGCGUGAAUGAUGAAGGUCUUAGGAUUGUAAAAUUCUUUUACCAGGGACGAUAAUGACGGUACCUGGAGAAAAAGCCCCGGCUAACUUCGUGCCAGCAGCCGCAGUAAGAC
rnacentral:rRNA from 1 species